rnacentral:rRNA from 1 species
GACGAGCGCUGGCGGCGUGCUUAAUACAUGCAAGUCAACUGAACUUAAGGUAGUAAUACUUUAAGGGAGGUGGCGCACGGGUGAGUAACACGUAGGUAAUCCGCCUUUAGGUCUGACAUAAUUCCGCGAAAGCGGGACUAACUUCAGAUGAUGCAGCGGCUCGACAUCGAGACAGUUGUUAAAUCUUCGGAGCCUAAAGAUGAGCCUGCGUCUGAUUAGGAGUUGGCGGAGUAAAAGCCCACCAAGCCUGCGAUCAGUAGCUGGUCUGAGAGGACGAUCAGCCACACUGGGACUGAGACACGGCCCAGACUCCUACGGGAGGCAGCAGUUAGGAAUAUUGGACAAUGGGCGCAAGCCUGAUCCAGCCAUGCCGCGUGAGUGAUGAA